GCGGCAGGCUUAACACAUGCAAGUCGAGGGGUAACAGGGAUUGCUUGCAAUCCGCUGACGACCGGCGCACGGGUGCGUAACGCGUAUGCAACCUACCUUCUACAGGGGAAUAGUCAAUAGAAAUGUUGAAUAAUACCCCAUACGAUCUUUGAAUAGCAUUAUUUAGAGAAGAAAGUUCCGGCGGUAGAAGAUGGGCAUGCGUCCUAUUAGUUAGUUGGAGAGGUAACGGCUCCCCAAGACAUCGAUAGGUAGGGGUCCUGAGAGGGAGACCCCCCACACUGGUACUGAGACACGGACCAGACUCCUACGGGAGGCAGCAGUGAGGAAUAUUGGACAAUGGAGGCAACUCUGAUCCAGCCAUGCCGCGUGCAGGAAGACUGCCCUAUGGGUUGUAAACUGCUUUUAUACAGGAAGAAAUGUACCUACGUGUAGGUAUUUGACGGUACUGUACGAAUAAGG
rnacentral:rRNA from 1 species